rnacentral:rRNA from 1 species
ACUGAACGCUGGCGGCAGGCUUAACACAUGCAAGUCGAGCGGAGAUGAGGUGCUUGCACCUUAUCUUAGCGGCGGACGGGUGAGUAAUGCUUAGGAAUCUGCCUAUUAGUGGGGGACAACAUUCCGAAAGGAAUGCUAAUACCGCAUACGCCCUACGGGGGAAAGCAGGGGAUCUUCGGACCUUGCGCUAAUAGAUGAGCCUAAGUCAGAUUAGCUAGUUGGUGGGGUAAAGGCCUACCAAGGCGACGAUCUGUAGCGGGUCUGAGAGGAUGAUCCGCCACACUGGGACUGAGACACGGCCCAGACUCCUACGGGAGGCAGCAGUGGGGAAUAUUGGACAAUGGGCGGAAGCCUGAUCUAGCCAUGCCGCGUGUGUGAAGAAGGCCUUUUGGUUGUAAAGCACUUUAAGCGAGGAGGAGGCUACCUGGAUUAAUACUCUAGGAUAGUGGACGUUACUCGCAGAAUAAGCACCGGCUAACUCUGUGCCAGCAGCCGCAGUAAAAC